GGUUAGGGUCCGCGGAGCGAUGGCAUUAGUCAUGCAGUCUCAGCGGUAACUUAAAUAUCUUGCUACUUUGCUGGCUAGCGGCGGACGGGUGAGUAAUGUCUGGGAAUCUGCCUGAUGGAGGGGGAUAACUACUGGAAACGGUGGCUAAUACCGCAUAACGUCGCAAGACCAAAGAGGGGGACCUUCGGGCCUCUUGCCAUCAGAUGUGCCCAGAUGGGAUUAGCUAGUAGGUGGGGUAACGGCUCACCUAGGCGACGAUCCCUAGCUGGUCUGAGAGGAUGACCAGCCACACUGGAACUGAGACACGGUCCAGACUCCUACGGGAGGCAGCAGUGGGGGAAUAUUGCACAAUGGGCGCAAGCCUGAUGCAGCCAUGCCGCGUGGUAUGAAGAAGGCCUUAGGGUUGUAGAGGACUUUCAGCGGGGAAGAAGGUGAUAAGGUUAAUACCGUCAGCGAUUGACGUUACGCGGAGGAGAAGC
rnacentral:rRNA from 1 species